CUCAGCCUACUAAUCCGCGCAGAACUUAGCCAGCCUGGGGCCCUGUUAGGCGAUGAUCAAAUCUAUAACGUCAUCGUAACCGCCCACGCAUUCGUUAUAAUCUUUUUUAUAGUGAUACCAGUAAUAAUUGGUGGGUUCGGCAACUGAUUAGUGCCCCUAAUAAUCGGCGCACCUGACAUAGCCUUCCCACGAAUAAAUAACAUAAGCUUCUGACUCCUGCCCCCAUCCUUACUACUACUCCUUGCUUCCUCUGGCAUUGAAGCAGGCGCAGGAACGGGUUGAACAGUAUACCCCCCUCUCGCUGCCAACCUGGCCCACGCUGGCGCCUCAGUAGACCUGGUUAUUUUUUCCUUACAUUUAGCAGGAGUAUCCUCUAUCCUAGGGGCAAUCAACUUUAUCACCACCUGCAUUAACAUGAAAUCCCCUACAUUAUCACAAUAUAAUACCCCCCUCUUUGUCUGAUCUGUCUUAAUUACUGCUAUUUUACUUCUCCUUGCUCUACCAGUCCUUGCAGCAGGGAUCACAAUACUUUUAACAGACCGCAACCUCAAU
rnacentral:rRNA from 1 species